GGUGAACGGGGGAGUAACACGUGGGGGUCUGCCCUGCACUCUGGGACAAGCCCUGGAAACGGGGUCUAAUACCGGAUACUGACCUUCACGGGCAUCUGUGAAGGUCGAAAGCUCCGGCGGUGCAGGAUGAGCCCGCGGCCUAUCAGCUUGUUGGUGAGGUAAUGGCUCACCAAGGCGACGACGGGUAGCCGGCCUGAGAGGGCGACCGGCCACACUGGGACUGAGACACGGCCCAGACUCCUACGGGAGGCAGCAGUGGGGAAUAUUGCACAAUGGGCGAAAGCCUGAUGCAGCGACGCCGCGUGAGGGAUGACGGCCUUCGGGUUGUAAACCUCUUUCAGCAGGGAAGAAGCGAAAGUGACGGUACCUGCAGAAGAAGCGCCGGCUAACUACGUGCCAGCAGCCGCGGUAAUACGUAGGGCGCAAGCGUUGUCCGGAAUUAUUGGGCGUAAAGAGCUCGUAGGCGGCUUGUCACGUCGGUUGUGAAAGCCCGGGGCUUAACCCCGGGUCUGCAGUCGAUACGGGCAGGCUAGAGUUCGGUAGGGGAGAUCGGAAUUCCUGGUGUAGCGGUGAAAUGCGCAGAUAUCAGGAGGAACACCGGUGGCGAAGGCGGAUCUCUGGGCCGAUACUGACGCUGAGGAGCGAAAGCGUGGGGAGCGAACAGGAUUAGAUACCCUGGUAGUCCACGCCGAAAACGGUGGGCACUAGGUGUGGGCAACAUUCCACGGUUGUCCGUGCCGCAGCUAACGCAUUAAGUGCCCCGCCUGGGGGAGUACGGCCGCAAGGCUAAAACUCAAAGAAAUUGACGGGGGCCCGCACAAGCGGCGGAGCUUGUGGCUUAAUUCCAACGCAACGCGAAAAACCUUACCAAGGCUUGACAUACCCCGAAAACGUCAGAGAUGGGCGCCCCCUUGUGGACGGGGACAGG
rnacentral:rRNA from 1 species